rnacentral:rRNA from 1 species
CCUACGAGUGGCAGCAGUGAGGAAUAUUGGUCAAUGGGCGCGAGCCUGAACCAGCCAAGUCGCGUGAGGGAAGACGGCCCUACGGGUUGUAAACCUCUUUUGCCGGGGAGCAACGGGCGCCACGUGUGGCGCCACUGAUAGUACCCGACGAAAAAACAUCGGCUAACUCCGUGCCAGCAGCCGAGGUCAUACGGAGGAUGCGAGCGUUAUCCGGAUUGAUUGGGUUUAAAGGGUGCGUAGGCGGAGCGUUAAGUCAGUGGUCAAAUUGAGCGGCUAAACCCCUUCCCGCCAUUGAAACUGGCGAGCUUGAGUGGAAGAGAAGUAGGCGGAAUGCGUGGUGUAGCGGUGAAAUGCAUAGAUAUCACGCAGAACCCCGAUUGCGAAGGCAGCAUGCCGGAUUCCGACUGACGCUGAAGCACGAAAGCGUGGGGAUCGAACAGGAUUAGAUACCCGUGUAGUC